rnacentral:other from 1 species
AUAACCCUACUAUGCGCGUGGGUGGCUGUGGUUUAGAGCCAACACCAUUGAAAAGGGAGCCUAACUCUGCAUCUGGCUUGUAGGCCCGGUACGGGAAACAAAAAGGUUGCAGGAGGGCACCCACCUGCUGAGAGCAGGUUCGUAAACUCCGGCCGCCACGGCAUUAGUGGGGUUUUA